rnacentral:misc_RNA from 1 species
GUUCUAGGCGCAAGGCUCUAGAAAGAUGCACGUUUUUAAUUUCUACUUUCGGCGAGCACUUUCAUAAGCAAAAAAAACUGUCAAUCAAUUCCAAAUCUGCUGAUUUACCAAAAUUAAAGUUUUUGGAAUUGGUAUCACUAGUGAUAACUGGUCACCAAAAUCUCAUAAAGCCACCACACCAUAGAUUGCAAACCUCUCAUAUUUCUAUUUUCAGCACUCGUGUUCCUUUUAAUCCCUCUCCUUACACAUUGUUUUCAACGUUCUCUUCUUGUCUGUCUCAUUUUAACUGCUUUUUGGACUCUUAUAUUUCUAGUUUAACUAAAAUAGCCUUUUUUAAAUGCCAUUGACAAUGCUAUGUGGGUCCUUUAUUUCAAUAUUUUUCGCAUAUUGCUUCUUUUAUUAUUAUUUUUUUUAAAGACACUAAGUAGCUAUUUAGGUAAUUUAUUUCUUGAUUAUUUGCCAUCUAUUUUUAAAGAAAAUAAAUAUUUACAUGUUUUUGAGGUCCUUUAUCUCUAGGUUAUCUAAAAUUGCUUUUCCUCCCUUUUUUCUAACAACACUAAUAGUGCUAUUU